rnacentral:rRNA from 1 species
GACGAACGCUGGCGGCGUGCUUAACACAUGCAAGUCGAACGGAAAGGCCCUGCUUUUGUGGGGUGCUCGAGUGGCGAACGGGUGAGUAACACGUGAGUAACCUGCCCUUGACUUUGGGAUAACUUCAGGAAACUGGGGCUAAUACCGGAUAGGAGCUCCUGCUGCAUGGUGGGGGUUGGAAAGUUUCGGCGGUUGGGGAUGGACUCGCGGCUGAUCAGCUUGUUGGUGGGGUAGUGGCUUACCAAGGCUUUGACGGGUAGCCGGCCUGCGAGGGUGACCGGCCACAGUGGGACUGAGAUACGGCCCAGACUCCUACGGGAGGCAGCAGUGGGGAAUAUUGCACAAUGGGCGGAAGCCUGAUGCAGCAACGCCGCGUGCGGGAUGACGGCCUUCGGGUUGUAAACCGCUUUCGCCUGUGACGAAGCGUGAGUGACGGUAAUGGGUAAAGAAGCACCGGCUAACUACGUG